AGAGUCAGGAAUCAGCUUCCUGGCCUUAGUGUUCAUUGCAAUCCAGACAUGUUCUGAGUUAAAAUCCAUUGUCAAAGGAAUGUGACAUGGGGGCUGGUAUACAGGUUCCUCUUUAAUUUGAACUUUAUAUGCUAUCUGAAAUUGAUUAAAACUUUUAUUAAGGUCUUUGUGUUUUUUAAAGGCUAAACUCAAAAUGGGAUCUCCGAAGACUUUGUAAAACUGUUGGUGCUACAGCUCUUCCUAGAUUGACACCUCCUGUCCUUGAAGAAAUGGGACACUGUGACAGUGUUUACCUCUCAGAAGUUGGAGAUACUCAGGUGGUGGUUUUUAAGCAUGAAAAGGAAGAUGGCGCCAUUUCUACCAUAGUACUUCGAGGCUCUACAGACAAUCUGAUGGAUGACAUAGAAAGGGCAGUAGACGAUGGUGUUAAUACUUUCAAAGUUCUUACAAGG
rnacentral:lncRNA from 1 species